GAUGAACGCUAGCUACAGGCUUAACACAUGCAAGUCGAGGGGAAACGACAUCGAAAGCUUGCUUUUGAUGGGCGUCGACCGGCGCACGGGUGAGUAACGCGUAUCCAACCUGCCCAUCACUUGUGCAUAACCUUGCGACAAUAAGACUAAUACCCAAUGACAUCCCACGAAGACAUCUGAAUGUUUUUGAAGUUUUAUCUGUGCUGGCUGGGGAUGCGUCUGAUUAGCUUGUUGGCGGUUACACGGGCCACCAAGGAUACGAUCAGUAGGGGUUCUGAGAGGAAGGUGCCCCACAUGGGAACUGAGACACGGUCCAAAGUCAUACGGGGGGCAGCAGUGAGGAAGAUUGGACAAUGGGCGAGAGCCUGAACCAGCCAAGUAGCGUGCAGGAAGGCGGCCCUAUGGGUUGUAAACUGCUUUUAGAAGGGAAUAAAGGGGGUCUCGGGAGACUUUUUGAAUGUACCUGAUGAAUAAGGACCGGCUAAUUCCGUG
rnacentral:rRNA from 1 species